rnacentral:misc_RNA from 1 species
CGGCAGGACGCUCGGUGUCAUCCAGGCGCUCAACAAGCGCGACGGUUACUUCACCGUGGAGGACGAAUCGCUGCUCGGCGCGCUGGGUGCGCAAGCGGCGGUGUGUGUCGAGAACUCCAAGCUGUUUUUGUCGGUGGUCGGCAAAAACAUGGAGCUGCUCGAGACCAAAAACCGCCUCGAGCGCAAGGUGCGCGAGCUCGACGUCCUGGUCGAGAUUGCGAACGUCGCAGCCACCGCCGGCAAGCUCGACGACUUGCUCCAGGGGGUGCUCGCGCGCGCCAGCAA